rnacentral:rRNA from 1 species
UACGUAGGGUGCGAGCGUUAAUCGGAAUUACUGGGCGUAAAGUGUGCGCAGGCGGCAGGGCAAGUCGAGUGUGAAAGCCCCGGGCUUAACUUGGGAAUUGCGCUCGAAACUACUUUGCUGGAGUGUGGCAGAGGAAGGUGGAAUUCCACGUGUAGCGGUGAAAUGCGUAGAGAUGUGGAGGAACACCAAUGGCGAAGGCAGCCUUCUGGGCCAACACUGACGCUCAUGCACGAAAGCGUGGGGAGCAAACAGG